UUAGUGGCGGACGGGUGAGUAACGCGUGGAUAACCUGCCGUAUACAGGGGGAUAACACUUAGAAAUAGGUGCUAAUACCGCAUAAGCGCACGGUUCCGCAUGGAACAGUGUGAAAAACUCCGGUGGUAUACGAUGGAUCCGCGUCUGAUUAGCUAGUUGGCGGGGUAACGGCCCACCAAAGCGACGAUCAGUAGCCGGCCUGAGAGGGUGAACGGCCACAUUGGGACUGAGACACGGCCCAAACUCCUACGGAAGGCAGCAG
rnacentral:rRNA from 1 species